GGGGAAGACUGAUUUGUGUGUGUGUGUGUGUGUGUGUGUGUGUAUGGUACUGGGGAUUGAACCUAGGGGUGCUUUACUUCUGAGUGACAUCCCCAGACUUUUAUUUUUUAUUUUGAGACAGGGCUGCACUAAUUGACUGAGGGUCUCCCUAAGUUGCUGAGACUCAAACUUAUGAUCCUCCUGCUUCAGCCUCCCGAGUCACUGGAAUAACAGGUAUGCACCAUCACACCAGGUUGGGAACAUUCUGAUUUUUCCAGAUAAAGCCAGCAUCAGGGCAGUGUGAGAAGUGCUUCACCAAGUGCUGUGGAAGCACCAUGCAGGGAGGGGAAGGCCGACAGGCUGCAGGCUGGGGGAGCCUUCUAGACCAAGCCAAGUGCAAAGGGAAAGAGGGCAUCAGGCAAGUGGAGAGUACAGAGUAGAGACAGUAACAGGGAAAAUACUGUUCACAAGGGCUUGGGAAGUGUUGGUGGCUGUGCUGUGCACCUCAUCCUCAUUCAUAUGUUAAAGUCCCAGCCUCCAGUACCUCAUAAUAUGACUGGGGAGAUUAGAUCUUUAAAGGUGUGAUUUAGUUAUGUUGAGGUCCUUAGGGUAGACCCUCGUAUUAGUCAGCUUCCCAUCACUGUGACAAUGUACCUGAGAAAAACAACUUGAAGAAAGGUUUAUUUUGGUUCAUGUUUUCAGAGGUUUCAGUCCAUGGUCACUUGACCCCAUCAUUAGAAUCCAAUGGUGCAACAGAAUAUCAUGGUGUGAAUACAUGGCAGAGAAGAGCUGCUCAUCUCAUGGGAACUAGGAAGGAGAGAGAGGGCUGUGGUCACAGAAUACUCAUCAGGAGAACACUCGUGUGACUGAUUUCCUCCAACUAGGCCCCACCUGCUAAAAUUUCUACUGCCUCCCAACAGUGCCACAAGUUGGGGACCAAGCCCUCACCACAUGAGACUUUGGGGGAUAUUCCAGAUAUGGACCAUAAAGUGGAUGGUGUCCUGAUAAGAAAAGGGAAUACAGACACACAAAGAGGGAAGGUCCUGUGAUGAUAGGGAGAAUACCAUCAUCGAUAGGCCAAGAAGAGAGGCCUUAGAAGAAACCAAGCCUGCUGACACCUUGAUCUUGGACAUCCAGCCUCCAGAACUGUAGGAAAAUAGAUGUCUGUUGUUUAAAUCACCUUGCAAACUAAUAUGGGGAGAAAAAGCUUGAGACUUUUGGGAAACCAAAAGUAGUAUUGAGAAUCCUGUUAUGUGGUGCCAAUCUUAAUUCUAUCCAAAAUUCUAGGUAGCAUUAAGUGAUUCAUCAAUAAAAUUACUUAGUACAGCUAUAUGUAGUGGCUUGCGUCUUUAUUUCCAACCAUUCAUGAGGCUGAGGAAGGAAGAUCACAAAUUCAAUGCUGGUCUUGGAAGCUUAUGAGACCUUGUCAUAAAAUAAAAUAGAAGAAAUUGGUUUAAGACAGCAGUAGGAAGACCAUAGCCCAAGGGCCAACUGCAUUUUUUUUGUAUGAUCCAUAAGAAUUAGUUUUUUUAAAAAAAAAUGGUUCUAAAAACUCGAAAGAAGAAUGAUAUUUUGUGACACUUAAGAAUGAUGUGAAUUUAUGACUUGAAAAUCUGAGACAGGAGGAUGGUAUGUUCAAGAACAUCCUGGAUAACUUAGCAAGACCCUCACUCAAAAUAAAAUUUUAGAAAAGCCCAGUUCAGUGGUUGAAAAUUUGCCUAGCAUGGGCAAGGCCCUGGGUUCAAUUGCCAGUACUAAAAAGAAAAUUACUUGGUACAUAGUGAAACUUUAGUUUUCACCCCAAGUUCUGUGAAUUCUCUGAGUUCCCACAGUCAUCUUGUUUGUUCCUUUAUUAUAAAAUAUAAGUCCUGUGUCUUUCAACAGCUAAUCCAUUUCUCCACCAUAACCUAUGAGUCCCUCAAAAAUAGGGCUGUGGUGGCAUUUCUUUGUAUGUCUGGCACUUAGUGGAUUACGAUACUAGGUCUGUCACCUAGUAGACACAUAAACCAAUGUUUGUGGAACAAGGAAUUUAAUAAGUGAAUAAACAAAUAGGGGAAAGCUACUUCAAGCAAAAAUAUAACUUGUAGACAGUGUUUUCCCUUGGGGAUUUAGGCUAUCUAGCUAGAAUUACUUAGUGCUCUUGAAGACAACUUUGCAGUGGCAGCUUGGUACCAGAGCUGACCUACUCAAAAGCCAUUGCACACUGGCCCAGCCAUGGGUACGAGAGUCUCUGCUCUAGUGAGGUUUUGGAGUGAAAGUGCCCUAGUGUCCACUGCCCCAGGAAAUGUUCUAGGGCCUCUUUCCCAGACACUAGACUCUUGGUGAAUACUGGAAAGAGAGAUGCUAACUGAAAUGAAAGGCUUUCUGUCUCAGACACAUUUGUCACCAAAAGAAUACGUCUUUCUUCAUAUAAACUGCUAUCUCCUCAGGAGCUACCUGCUUGCUAUAUAAACUGUACAGAGGGUGGCAAAUGUUUUUUGUAAAGGCAGGCAAUGAUUUGACUGUGUCCCCCAAAGUGUGCAAGUUGGAAACUUCAUACCCAUUAAAACAAUGCUAGGAAGUAGGGCGCAAAGAGAGGUGCUUGGUCCAGCCUCAUGAAUGGAUUAUGAUUUUUUAUUAUUAAAGGGCUUGAGGCUUGUGAGUUGAAUCUUUCUCUCUCUCUCCCUCCCUCCUUCCCUCUCUCUCUCUCUCUCUGCCCUUUUGCCAUGGCAUGAUGCAGCAAGACAGCCUUUGCCAGAUAUGGCCCCUCAGUCUUGGACUUCCCAGCCUCCAAAACCAUGAGCCAAUAAAUUCCUAUUCAUUAUCAAUUACCCAGUCUUGGGUAUUCUGUUAUAGCAGCACUAAAAUACUGAGACAGUAUAGUAAGCACUUUGGACUUUAUGGGCUAUAAAAGACCAAGACAGUAUGAUACAUAUUUUAAACUUUGGGCAGCUACAAUUUAACUUUGCCAUUGAAAGCUGAGGGUAUAGUUCAGUGGUAGAGUACAUGCCUAGCAUGUACGAGGCCAUGGCUGUGUUCCAAUAAAACUCUGGACAAUUAAAUUUCAUGCAAUUUCUUUCUUUCCUUUCUUUUCUUUUUUUUUUUUUUUUUUUUUUUUUGUUGUUGUUGUUGUUUUUUGUGGUGCUGGCGAUUGAACUCAGGACCUGGAACAUGCUAGGCAAGGGCUCUACCACUGAGCUACAUCUCAAGCUCUUUUUAAAAUUUUACUUUGACACAGAGUCUCACUGAGUCACCCAGGCUGGCUUACAACUUGCAAUCCUCUUGCUUUGGCUUCUUGAAUAGUAAAUUUCAUGAGUCACAAAAUAUCAUCUUGUUCUUGGGUUUUUAAAUAGUCUUUUAAAUCAUCCUUAGCUUGUGGGCCAUACAAAAAGAAAUGGCAGGUCAAAUUUAGCCUUUGGGCUAUAUAGUCUACCUACCCCUGCCCUAAACCAAUAUCUUCCCCUCGGCUUUGUUUGUUUCUCUCCCUUUUUAUUCUUUUCAUUCCAGUCAAACUAUGAUAUUCAAAUGUGAAUAUUUCUAGGAAACAAUGGACUCUCCACAGUCCUUUGCAGCUCAGUGUGAAUGAAUAAAAAUCAGGCUUUUGCUCAGAGACUGGGAGGAAAUAAGACUAAAGAUAAUCUUAAAGUAAAUAAGAAGUACAAAAGUAUUACAAAAGUAAAUAAGAAGACAAGGCCAAGUGUAACCCAGCAAAACCUUGCCCACAGACUACAAAAUAGAUUUGCACUUUACUUGUUACUCAGCUCAAGUUGAUUUUUCAUUGAAACAGAAUGAACUUGUUUCUCCCAUAAUACAUUUUAUCAUUUCAGAUAACAUGGGGAAGAUGUUGGUGCUUUCUUGGGCCACACGUUGCUGUACAGGCAACUUCCUGACCUCAAAUUCAACCCUGCGAGGGCUUGGUCUGAGCUUGGUGUGAAGAAAAGAGGACUCACAGCCGAUAUGAUCUGGUGUCGUGCCAGUCUGCACAGAAUUAGAAGAUGGAUUAUUGUGGAUUUGUUUUCCUUUAGGAAUUAGGGCUGGCACUGGCUUAGCUUCAGUACAGCAGAGGUAUUAACUGAAAUGUAUUUCUGUCUUAACAGCCACAUCCCUUUUAGCCUUGGUGACUUUGGAGUGACUUCUAAAGCAAUCUCAUCAGAAUGAAUCGGCAGAUUAAGGUGAAAUUCAUGUCAGAACAGUAGGCAAGAGGAGAUGAAAUGCCCUACACCUGGCUGCCCACUGCAAAAGGUGAAGUUGAACAUGUGAGAUGGGCCGAAAAAUGCUGGGUGAACUUUCAAGUGGAUUUCCUUCAGUCAACUCACAAGAAGAUUCAAAGCAGCAUAAAGAACUCAAGAUGAGGUAGCCGCACAGCCCAUGUACUGGCCAUGUGUCGCAUUUGAGUGCUCUCUGGAUUCAUCAGCAAGUCUGAUUUGAAGUCUUCUCUCUUUUUCUCUUCACCUGUUUAGUGAAUUCACUAUGCUUGAUGGGAGUGAAUCUGAACCUAGGCACUGAGGAUUUGAUUUCCUACAGGAAUUAGGGCUCGUUUUAGAUGGCCUCCCCUUCAUUUGUGAAGUCACUUAACUCUGGAAGCCUCAGCUUCCUCAUCUGCAAAAUGGGGCUUAGAGUCCAUAUCCCAGGCUUGCUAUAAGGAUUCCGGGAGAUAAUAUGUGAGGUUGCUUUAUCAACUCUGCAAAUAAUAGCUUUCAGUUUAACCAUCCUCCAUGUCCAUGGACCCAAACAGAAGUUCGUCUUGUUCCCCUGACUGAAAAUUGGGAAGCAAACAGUUGAGUUUGUUAUCCAGGGAAGGAUGCUCUCUGGUCAUCUUCUUGCCUCUUGCCUUUGUCAAUAAACACUUAUUAAAGGGGUGUAUACACUGUAAUAGAAGACAUAUGAUUUACAAAAACAUGAAUUUCUUGAUGGGCUAGGACUGAAAAUAUUUUUUUGAUGCAAUUCAAUGUGUUGUUAAUCUUUCUCUGCCCCAUCCCUGCCACACCAGGUAUGUGCACAUCAUUUGUCCUGUAGUUCAAACACAGAAAAUUUUUAACACACCGUAUCAGCCUUACAAAUAAAUAAGUAGAUAGUUCCCAUGCUCUGUAGCAUAGGAUGACCACCAAGGUUUUUCUGCUGUAAAAUAACUCUUGCUAAUUUGGGAUAUAUACCUCAAAUCCCAUCAUGUGGAGUCAUUCAUUUAAACCACAGAAUUAUGCAUUUUAAAAAACAGGCCUGGCAUGGCAACACACCUGUGAUAUCAGCUGCUUGGGAGGCUGAGGCAGGGGGAUCACAAG
rnacentral:lncRNA from 1 species